ACACACACUAAGCCUCCGGACCUACGUCGCAAGAUAAGGUGCUUUGGCCGUGACCCUCCCGGUCACCAGGGUGCAGAAAGAAAUGCCUGCAUCUCCCGUAUUUGGAAAGGUGUAUAUGGCU
rnacentral:ncRNA from 1 species